UACGUAGGGGGCUAGCGUUGUCCGGAAUCAUUGGGCGUAAAGCGCACGUAGGCGGAUUGCUAAGUCAGGGGUGAAAUCCUGGAGCUCAACUCCAGAACUGCCUUUGAUACUGGUGAUCUCGAGUCCGGGAGAGGUGAGUGGAACUGCGAGUGUAGAGGUGAAAUUCGUAGAUAUUCGCAAGAACACCAGUGGCGAAGGCGGCUCACUGGCCCGGUACUGACGCUGAGGUGCGAAAGCGUGGGGAGCAAACAGGG
rnacentral:rRNA from 1 species